AUUAAACGGUGGUUAUUAUACAUAUGUAUAGUGAAAUGUGUGAAGUAUUCGAUGAAAAAGAAAAAUCUAACAAAAUUUAAACAAGUGCGCUUAAACCGCCACCUAUCUGUAACAGUUAUUUUGGCAGUUAUUUCAACAUGGAAAAAUAUCAGUCAAGUUUUUAUCUGCUCUUGGUGCAGUUGUAAAGCAUCCGGGAGAAAAUGCAACAGUGGCUGCUGUU